CCUACGGGGAGCAGCAGUGGGGAAUCUUGCACAAUGGGGGAAACCCUGAUGCAGCGACGCCGCGUGAAGGAAGAAGUAUUUCGGUAUGUAAACUUCUAUCAGCAGGGAAGAAAAUGACGGUACCUGACUAAGAAGCCCCGGCUAACUACGUGCCAGAAGCCGCGGUAAUACGGAGGGGGCAAGCGUUAUCCGGAUUUACGGGGUGUAAAGGGAGCGGAGUAGGGUUAGCAAGGAAGAAGUGAAAGCCCGGGGCUCAACUCCGGUACUGCUUUUGAAACUGUUGAACUAGAUUGCAGGAGAGGUAAGUGGAAUUACUAGUGUAGCUGUGAAAUGCGUAGAUAUUAGGAGGAACACCAGUGGCGAAGGCGGCUUACUGGACUGUAAAUGACGCUGAGGCUCGAAAGCGUGGGGAGCAAACAGGAUUAGAUACCCCAGUAGUC
rnacentral:rRNA from 1 species